GAAAAAAAAAAUACUUGUGUACAAAAAUCAUGUGCUGGAUUCGACAUGAUUUUCUUUUACUUGAUACGCCAAAGCUCUAUAAAUUGAGACUUCAGCCCACAGCAAUCUGAACCAUACAAGAAAACCUCCCUAUUAACCAACCAUGGUUUUCUCCUCAAUGAUUAAGUCCCUUCUCUUCGCCGCAUCCCUCACAAUCCUUCUCGCCAAC